UACGUAGGUGGCAAGCGUUAUCCGGAUUUACUGGGUGUAAAGGGAGCGUAGACGGUGAUGCAAGUCAGAAGUGAAAGCCCGGGGCUCAACCCCGGGACUGCAUUUGGAACUGUGCUGCUAGAGUGUCGGAGAGGCAGGCGGAAUUCCUAGUGUAGCGGUGAAAUGCGUAGAUAUCAGGAGGAACACCGGUGGCGAAGGCGGCUUACUGGACGAUGACUGACGCUGAGGCUCGAAAGCGUGGGGAGCAAACAGG
rnacentral:rRNA from 1 species